AGGUGUCUGGGAUUAAUGGUUCUUCUUCUUGUCUCUGCUAUCCGGAUGUUUAAUCUUGUGUCUUGGAUCUCUUCUUAUGGUGGUUGCUGGGUGCCAUCUUGUUAAAGGACAGAGAAAUCUCCAAUGAACGAUGGGAAAUCAAGGUUUUAACUGAAGUCUUCAAGCUAUUCUUUAAGAUGGUGAUGAUUCGGUCUAGAAUCUCAGGUUUAAGAGUGGACUGGUGGAAUGUUUCGAGAAAUCUGAGACUUGGAUGAAUUUGUGGAUAGUACGUCAAGGUUUUUAUGUUGCAAUAAACAACGUUGUUGAUCAAGCAAUUUGACAAGAAAUCUUAAUGAACAACGAGGUACUCAUGUCAUACUUUUCUUAUCAAUUAAACUUAUAUGCUUGCAUCAAGCUGAUUUUACGCUAUUGAUGUUCAAGAUU